rnacentral:rRNA from 1 species
AAUAUUGGACAAUGGGGGGAACCCUGAUCCAGCCAUGCCGCGUGUGUGAAGAAGGCCUUCUGGUUGUAAAGCACUUUAAGCGAGGAGGAGGCUACUCUAGUUAACACCUAGGGAUAGUGGACGUCACUCGCAGAAUAAGCACCGUCUAUCUCUGUGCCAGCAGCCGCGGUAAUACAGAGGGUGCACGCGUUAAUCGGAUUUACUGGGGGUAUAGCGCGCGUAGGUGGCCAAUUAAGUCGAAUGUGAAAUCCCCGAGCUUAACUUGGGAAUUGCAUUCGAUACUGGUUGGCUAGAGUAUGGGAGAGGAUGGUAGAAUUCCAGGUGUAGCGGUGAAAUGCGUAGAGAUCUGGAGGAAUACCGAUGGCGAAGGCAGCCAUCUGGCCUAAUACUGACACUGAGGUGCGAAAGCAUGGGGAGCAAACAG